rnacentral:rRNA from 1 species
AUUGAACGCUGGCGGCAUGCCUUACACAUGCAAGUCGAACGGCAGCGGACCUUCGGGUGCCGGCGAGUGGCGAACGGGUGAGUAAUAUAUCGGAACGUACCUUUCAGUGGGGGAUAACGUAGCGAAAGUUACGCUAAUACCGCAUAUUCUGUGAGCAGGAAAGCAGGGGAUCGCAAGACCUUGCGCUGAUUGAGCGGCCGAUAUCAGAUUAGCUAGUUGGUGAGGUAAGGCUCACCAAGGCGACGAUCUGUAGCGGGUCUGAGAGGAUGAUCCGCCACACUGGAACUGAGACACGGUCCAGACUCCUACGGGAGGCAGCAGCGGGGAAUUUUGGACAAUGGGCGCAAGCCUGAUCCAGCCAUGCCGCGUGAGUGAAGAAGGCCUCGGUUGUAAG